GACAGAGGGGGCAAGCGUUGCUCGGAAUUACUGGGCGUAAAGGGCGCGUAGGCGGGAUGGCAAGUCGGUCGUGAAAUCCCUCGGCUCAACCGAGGAACGUCGAUCGAUACUGCUGUUCUUGAGGAUUGCAGAGGAGACUGGAAUUCCCGGUGUAGCGGUGAAAUGUGUAGAUAUCAGGAGGAACACCUGCGGUGUAGACGGCUUACUGGACCAUCACUGACGCUGAGGCACGAAAGCGUGGGUAGCAAACAGG
rnacentral:rRNA from 1 species